rnacentral:rRNA from 1 species
CCUACGGGCGGCAGCAGUAGGGAAUCUUCCACAAUGGGCGCAAGCCUGAUGGAGCAACGCCGCGUGGGUGAAGAAGGUCUUCGGAUCGGAAAACCCUGUUGUUAGAGAAGAAAGUGCGUGCGAGUAACUGUUCACGUGUCGACGGUAUCUAACCAGAAAGCCACGGCUAACUACGUGCCAGCAGCAGCGGUAAUACGUAGGGGGCAAGCGUUAUCCGGAUUUAUUGGGCGUAAAGGGAACGCAGGCGGUCUUUUAAGUCUGAUGUGAAAGCCUUCGGCUUAACCGGAGUAGUGCAUUGGAAACUGGGAGACGUGAGUGCAGAAGAGGAGAGUGGAACUCAAUGUGUAGCGGUGAAAUGCGUAGAUAUAUGGAAGAACACCAGUGGCGAAAGCGGCUCUCCGGUCUGUAACUGACGCUGAGGUUCGAAAGCGUGGGUAGCAAACAGGAUUAGAUACCCGGGUAGUC